GCCGCGGUAGCUCAGUUGGUAGAGCAUGCGACUGAAAAUCGUAUUGUCGCCGGUUCGAUUCCGGCCCACGGCACCA
rnacentral:tRNA from 1 species